rnacentral:lncRNA from 1 species
CAGCACUUCCUGACUUCUUGGACUUGAUGUGCAGGCUGCAAGUUGCUUUGGGAGUCAACAGGUAAACCACUAAUGGCACAUAUAACUCUUAUAAUUAAAAGCCACAUCUGAUGGAACAGUCGUCUGUGAAAGCAAAGAAGAGGGGAAGAUGAAAGUGCCACCAGUACAAGCCAACAGUCCAGCUAUAGCUCUCAGCAGCAGCCAGAGACCCAAAAGAAAUGAUAGAUUCUCCCUGUCCUGGGCCCGAGUCACAGCCUACAUCAUGUCACCUUAUGGAGAUGGUGCUUCCCCCAGCCCAGCUGUGUCAGAACACCACAGCCUUGACCAGAACUACUCAGCUAUCGUAUGUUAACCUGGACUCAAUUGCAUCCUCGGCAGAGGAUGGGAGCCUUGCUUCUCAUCUGACCAUGCUUCCAGACCAGGAGUCACACUGUCUCUCUUCAGUUCUCUACCAGUUGGACACAUCUGUAUGCAGGGCACCAGCACCGCUGUGA